GCGGCUCGUCGAGCGCGGCGAGGCGGCCGACCACUCCUGCUGGUGGAACGACACCCGCGACCCGGGCGUCGGCCCGUUCGACACCGUCGAGCGGCCCC
rnacentral:tRNA from 1 species